rnacentral:rRNA from 1 species
UACGUAGGGUGCGAGCGUUGUCCGGAAUUAUUGGGCGUAAAGAGCUCGUAGGCGGUUUGUCACGUCUGCUGUGAAAUCCCGGGGCUCAACCUCGGGCCUGCAGUGGGUACGGGCAGACUGGAGUGCGGUAGGGGAGAAUGGAAUUCCUGGUGUAGCGGUGGAAUGCGCAGAUAUCAGGAGGAACACCGAUGGCGAAGGCAGUUCUCUGGGCCGUAACUGACGCUGAGGAGCGAAAGCGUGGGGAGCGAACAGG